CCUAAGGGCAUGCAGCCCGGGAAAAGAGAGCAAGAUGGCAGAGGCAAGCAGUGUGGAAUGUUCUUACUGAGGAAGACCUUCUCAAAGCUGAUGAUGUAAUAGGUAUGAAGGAGCAUUUCAUGGGAGUCACGGUCCCAUGCCCCUGUGUCAGGGCACACAGAGCUCCUAGCCUUGCAUCCUGCGUGAGAGGGGUCCUGGAAUAUUCCCUGAUCCCAACAGGGUCCUGCAUUGCAUGGUUCCCCCUCAGUUAUGGUCCUCCCUGUGCCUCAUGGGGUACGCAGCUUCUAUGGGAUGAACUUAUAUCAGUGAUUAACUGGAGCUGGACCACAUCCACACCACAGGCAAGCCCUGGACACUGAGGACAUUAAGAGCAGCAGACAACAUCUCCUCCACUGCUUCUGACUCUGCUCCACAAGGCAAGGCAGCUCCCACACAGCAGGCAUCCAGCCUAACUCCCAGCAGGGAGAGUGUGAGAUGUCUGUGGAUGAGCCCACAGGGACUACAGGAUUCUGUGGGAAGACAUCUGGUAGGUUCUGGAGCAGCUGCAGCAGCCAGGACACAUGAACUACAGUGGAGUUCAGAUCCUCAGCUGGCCUCAUCACGGACAGUCCCAUGAGGAGCGGGUGUUUGGUUCCUGCUUCCCAGUUAGGGUAGGAACAAGCCCAGACGCAGUCUUGCUUUUAACUACUGGACCCAACACAAAGCCUCCCUUGCAGGCUUACCAGAGCAUGAAAAUGAAAUGGCCACCUCCUGUAACAAGAAAGACUUCUAGAAGAGGAAGGAGAC
ensembl:lncRNA